UCGUGCAGCUGGGUCAGGGUGGGCAGGGCGGCCUUGAUGCGGCCGUCAUCGGUGAUCUUGUCCCCGUCGAGCGGG
rnacentral:tRNA from 1 species